rnacentral:rRNA from 1 species
CCUACGGGGGGCAGCAGUGGGGAAUAUUGGGCAAUGGGCGAAAGCCUGACCCAGUAACGCAGCGUGAAGGAAGAAGGCUUUCGGGUUGUAAACUUCUUUUCUGAGGGAAGAAGAAAGUGACGGUACCUCAGGAAUAAGCCACGGCUAACUACGUGCCAGCAGCCGCGGUAAUACGUAGGUGGCAAGCGUUAUCCGGAUUUAUUGGGUGUAAAGGGCGUGUAGGCGGGAAAGCAAGUCAGAUGUGAAAACUCAGGGCUCAACCCUGAGUCUGCAUUUGAAACUGUUUUUCUUGAGUGCUGGAGAGGUAAGCGGAAUUCCGGGUGUAGCGGUGAAAUGCGUAGAUAUAAGGAGGAACACCAGUGGCGAAGGCGGAUUGCUGGACAGUAACUGACGCUGAGGCGCGAAAGCGUGGGGAGCAAACAGGAUUAGAUACCCCAGUAGUC